UGACAGUCCAAAAUAGAGAAACUCACCUUAUGGAUAGCCUGACAGCCAGAGUAAGGGGAACAAUGAAGACUUUCCAAAAAGUAUGGGAACCAUGGGAAAACAGUACUUUAGUGAAUUGUUAGGGCCCAUUCCUACCUCCCCGCAGCAUCAUACUGCUAGAAACACGACUUACAACCUCCCGGGAAAUCUGUUUUCUAUACUUUCAUUCUUUUCUCUCUAUCCUACAGUUUCUCUAACACUGUCAAUCUGAACCUGGAUUCGAAGUUAACC